GAGGUGGGCUAGGUGGUGGAGCUGGUGCUGGAGGUGGGCUUGGUGGGGGUGCUGGACUUGGAGGAGGAGGUGGUGGAGGCUUUGGCGGCGGCGGUGGUGCCGGAGGAGGAGCAGGUGGAGGAGCUGGCUUCGGUGGUGGAGCUGGAUUUGGAGGUGGUGCUGGUGGUGGUGGUGGAGCUGGAGGUGGUGGAGGAGGAGGAUUUGGAGGUGGUGGUGGACUAGGUGGCGGUGCCGGUGGUGGUUUUGGUGGCGGAGCUGGUGGUGGAUUUGGAGGUGGAUUGCCUUGAAGACCAUAUUAUAUUAUCAUUAAGCUAAAUAUCGUUGUUUACCAAAAAAAUAUUAAAGUUAUUGCUCUUCUAAAUAAGUUUGUAAUUACCAUAUUGCUUCAUAU
rnacentral:lncRNA from 1 species